rnacentral:sRNA from 1 species
GCUGGAUGUAGUAGCGUAUGCCUGUAAUCCCAGCAGCUCGGGAGUUUGAGGUAGGAGUAUCGUAAUUUCAAGUCUGCUUCAGCAACUUAGUGAAGCCCUGCAAUUUAGUGAGACACUGUCUCAAAA